rnacentral:tRNA from 1 species
GCCGAUGUGGCGAAAUGCCAGACGCAACGGACUUAAAAUCCGUUGGGCCGUAAAAGGCCCGUGCCGGUUCGAGUCCGGCCAUCGGCA